UAUUAAAAUAAUUUAAUAAGAAUACUAUAUUGAAGCUAUAGAGGUAGAGUUGGUCUUUUUAAUA
rnacentral:tRNA from 1 species